rnacentral:sRNA from 1 species
UGCAUCUGCGGCCAGUGAGGAUGAGAACCACCGGGGGCAGCACUGUCUACUCGAGCGAAGCGCGAGAACGUUGAGGCAGCAACGGCCAGCAGGGCGAGCCACAGAGUGGCGAGUCAUCCUCUAUCAGCGCCCA